rnacentral:lncRNA from 1 species
AAAAAAAAAAAAAAAGAACAAUCAAAAGCAACAAAACAACACCCUAUCCUCCAAGUCAUCCACCUGUUGAAAAGACCUUCAUUGAUCACAGCAAAUAAUUUUUUGUCAUUAUGAUCACAAAGUGCCUUUCUAAAAUUAAUAGGAUGUUGUAAACAAGUUUUACAGUAUUGUAAAUAAUAAAUUGUUUUACAAUAUGUAAAACUCGUUUACAGCAUUGUAAAAGUUCAUCUCGUACUUAAAUAAAGUGCGAGGUUUCUUACUUGAUAAUUUCUACAUAAGCAACACCCACAAACAUCUCUUUUCCAAAUUUACUAGCUAUCCACUUGUCA